rnacentral:rRNA from 1 species
UACGUAGGGGGCAAGCGUUGUUCGGAAUUACUGGGCGUAAAGGGUGCGUAGGCGGGUCUUUAAGUCAGGGGUGAAAUCCUGGAGCUCAACUCCAGAACUGCCUUUGAUACUGAAGAUCUUGAGUUCGGGAGAGGUGAGUGGAACUGCGAGUGUAGAGGUGAAAUUCGUAGAUAUUCGCAAGAACACCAGUGGCGAAGGCGGCUCACUGGCCCGAUACUGACGCUGAGGCACGAAAGCGUGGGGAGCAAACAGG